GGCACAGCAUCGACUCCCUCUAAUACUAUGGAGCAGGAUGGCCACAAACUGGGCCAAAGUGUAGGACUUUCUAAGCGAUUUUAACUCAUUACAGACCAAUAUCUAAUCGAUCAGUUAAAUGACAUUAUUGUUGCUCUUGAUGAGAAGCAACGUCAUGCAUCAGUUUUUAUUGAUCCGUCGAAAGUGUUUGACACCGCUGACCGUAAUAUUUUAAAAAACUUCGACUCCUCUGUUAACAAAUUAUCUCAGUAAUAAGCCUCAAGGGGGCGCCACAGGGUUCUGUAUUAGGUCCUCUUUUGAAUUCUGCUCUCUACCAGAAAAACCUGAAGGAGAACCUUCGGCCAUCAGUUCGUGACCUCAAGCUGAAGAGCACUUGGGUUCCGCAGUAGAACAACGAUCUGCGAUCCUCCAGGUUCGUCUCCUCGGGUCGGUCGGGUUUCAUUCCUCCAGGUUCAUCUCCUCAAGUCGGCCAGGUUUCAUUCCUCCAGGUUCGUCUCCUCAGGUCGGCCAAGUUUCAUUCCUCCAGGUUCGUCUCCUCAGGUCGGCCAAGUUUCAUUCCUCCAGGUUCGUCUCCUCAGGUCGGCCAGGUUUCAUUCCUCCAGGUUCAUCCCCUCUGGUCGGUCGGGUUUCAUUCCUCCUAGUUUGUCCACUCAGGUCGGCCAGGUUUCAGUCUUCCUGGUUCGUCCACUCAGGUCGGCCGGGUUUCAUUCUUCUUGGUUUGUCCACUCGGGUUGGCCUGGUUUCGUUCCUCCAGGUUCAUCUCCUCAGGUUGGCCUAGUUUCAUUCCUCCUAGUUUGUCCACUCGGGUUAGCCAAGUUUCAUUCCUCCAGGUUGGUCUCCUCAAGUCAGCAGGGUUUCAUUCCUCCAGAAAAUCCUGAAGGAGAAUGUUUGGCCAUCAGUUCGUGAUCUCAAGCUGAAGAGCACCUGGGUUCUACAGCAGAACAACGAUCCAAAACACACCAGCAAGUCGACGUCUGAAUGGCUUAAAAAAAAA
ensembl:lncRNA